UACGAAGGGGGCUAGCGUUGCUCGGAAUUACUGGGCGUAAAGGGCGCGUAGGCGGAUACUUAAGUUGGGGGUGAAAGCCCAGGGCUCAACCCUGGAACAGCCUUCAAUACUGGGUAUCUUGAGUACGGGAGAGGUGUGUGGAACUCCGAGUGUAGAAGUGAAAUUCGUAGAUAUUCGGAAGAACACCAGUGGCGAAGGCGACACACUGGCCCGUUACUGACGCUGAGGCGCGAAAGCGUGGGGAGCAAACAGG
rnacentral:rRNA from 1 species